rnacentral:tRNA from 2 species
GGGCCUGUAGCUCAGCUGGGAGAGCGGAAGCAUGGCAUGUUUCAGGUCGCAGGUUCGAUCCCUGUCAGGUCCACCA